CAACAAAGCAUCAAGAAUUUUACUUUUGAAUUAACUCAGUUUCUUAUUUUCAACAGAAAUAUAUCCAUGCGCAUUUAAACAGAAACAUUUGUUUAAAUUUGUAGAAGUGACAAUUUCACAGUUNNNNNNNNNNCUAUUGCUUUUAAAGAUCCAAGAACGUUCAGAAACUUAACCUUGUUUCUCUUUCAAGUUGGAAUAAUUCUGACUUCAUUUUUUCAUCAAACUUGAAUCCUGCCAUCUCUGCUUCGUUCCAGAUCUCCUUACACUUUGCCACCCUCCCAGAAACCAUGUAAACUGUAAUCAAGGCCCUAUAUAUGUCAUAAGUUGGAGAGAAACCUGCUUCCUUAAGUUUUGAAAAAUAUCUUACUGCCCUUGAGAGAUCAUUCAAGGCAACAAACAGCUUGAUAACAACGCGGUAAGCAGGAAGAUCAAGGACACAAUUUGAUCCCUCCAUUUCCCAAACCACAGUCAAUGCCUGCCGGUAUUUCUUCUCAGAAUAAAAGCUGUGAAUCAGAGUAGUGUACAUAACAACAGUUGGCUCGCGUCCUGAUAGUUGAAACCAAUGGAACAGCCUGUUCACUAGCUCAAAUUUUUUAAGCCUAAUGCAAACUUUCAUUAUAGCUGUGCAAUCCUGAUGGCUUAGAUUCAAAUUCUCUCUUUGCCCAAGCUCGUAAAACAACUGCUCCACAAGCAUGUGUUUAUCAGGGUUCUUUCCAAGCUCCAGUAUAAAUUUUGCAUAUACGCUGGGGUCUAACAAUCUUUUGUCCUGCGUGGCGACCGACAGAAGGUUCCAAGCCAGCUUUAAGCUUCUACCUCGAAUGAAGCCCCUAAUCAUUGCUUCAAUUACACCCCGACUUGCCAAACUAGUGAACUUCUGUAUGUCAAAUGGAACUUUCAAGUCUUGAUUCCUUGCCAAAACCUCUACAGUGGAAGCCAAAAUCCGAUCAUCAGGGAAAAGUUGGGGUUGUUUCUGAGCCCAACAGAAGGUCUGUAGAGCUCGCUCGGGAAGACCCAUAUGACCCAACUCUCGAAUCGUUAAUGACA
rnacentral:misc_RNA from 1 species